rnacentral:rRNA from 1 species
CCUACGGGUAGCAGCAGUGAGGAAUAUUGGUCAAUGGACGAGAGUCUGAACCAGCCAAGUAGCGUGAAGGAUGACUGCCCUAUGGGUUGUAAACUUCUUUUAUAAAGGAAUAAAACGAGGCACGUGUGCCUUUUUGCAUGUACUUUAUGAAUAAGGAUCGGCUAACUCCGUGCCAGCAGCCGCGGUAAUACGGAGGAUCCGAGCGUUAUCCGGAUUUAUUGGGUUUAAAGGGAGCGUAGAUGGGUUGUUAAGUCAGUUGUGAAAGUUUGCGGCUCAACCGUAAAAUUGCAAUUGAUACUGGCAGUCGUGAGUACAGUUGAGGUAGGCGGAAUUCGUGGUGUAGCGGUGAAAUGCUUAGAUAUCACGAAGAACCCCGAUUGCGAAGGCAGCUUACUAAACUGUGACUGACAUUGAUGCUCGAAAGUGUGGGUAUCAAACAGGAUUAGAUACCCGGGUAGUC